AUUAGUUGGGGGGCACAUUUGGCUUUCUCUGGUUGGUCUUGAGUUAGAAGCUGGGAUGAAAGUUGGUUAAGCUGUUGAUUAUUUAUCAAAUCUUGACCCCUUUGGGGGCUUAUUGUUACAAAAGUUAUUAUUUUGCUUCCUGUGUUAUUACUGGAGAUGGUAGUCUGACUUCCUAUGAGUCUGACUCACAGCAGCCCGGCUUCCUCAGCUGGUUAGUGUAUACAGGGGGCUGGUUUGUUGGCAGGUGGCUGCAAGUCAUGGGUUGGAGUUCUAUUUCUAUGUGUGGUCUGCCCAUGGUCCUCAUGCAUUCAGUCUCUCUAUGGGAGGAUAGGGACCCAGGUUUCAUUUUACCUACUAGUGGAAAGAAUAGGACAGUGUACCAUUUAGCCCCCAUGCCUACCAUGAAUGCUUCCCAGCAGGUCCUGACCAAGACCCCAGCUCAUGCCUUGCAUACUCAGACCUAAAUGCUGGUCCCUAUACCUCACACAGAUUGAACCCAUAACCUCUCUCCAGAAAAGUCUGAGUGAUCGUCCACCAUGAACUCAAACAGAUAUGUCCUGCACCUGUUUGCCAGGCUUUACUGGGCACUGGGUUCAUGAUCAGGCUAAGGAAAGAAAACCCCAUGGAAAUCAGACCACUGAAGGCAUUUUUGGGAGCUGGGAAGGCAGUCUUCGUUCUCACAUACACAUAAGGGAAUGCAAGGUUUCAUGUGAAAUUAUCACUCCAGUAGAGCCCAGUUCAUGGAUGGCUGGACUGUACUGAGGGCCUCUGGAGGUCAUUUAGCUUUAUCCACACCUCCUGCCAGGCCCCAGGAUUCCUGGAAAUGCAGAACGGGAGGCAGGGCAUGGAUGCACUUACUGUGCAGGUGCACCUGCCCAGGUGAGGAUGGAGAAACCAAAAGCCUCUCCAAGGCUGAAGUCCCCUCUUCCAACUGUCCUGGCUCUGUCCCCAGGGACUAAUUCUUCCCAGCUUGAUGUGGGGAUGAGGUGAGCCAGGUCCCCUCCUUUCCAAUGGUCUGUCUUCACCAAGGCAUUGACAAUAUGUCUGAAGGGCACAUUAGGCUCCAGAGAGGCGUUCCCAUGUCCCAUGCAUGCCCAGAGCUGCCUACUGGAGACCCCACAAGGUGGGGCAUCAUAGCCUGUGAGUGUGCUCAUGUGCAUGCACUCACGUAUUUGUGUGUGACUGUGUAUAUACAUAGAUGCAUGUAUGUGUGCAAGCAUGUGUGUGUUUGAUGUCUUUAGCAAUGAGGAGGGGAACACUACUCUCAUAGGUUCCAUCUGAAGUCAUGGCACAGACCGGUUCUCAAGUAGAAUUUGGCCUGCUGGGGUUGAGAACUCAUCCGGGCCUGGCUUCUACUGGCUGUGGCAUGGGGUGGAAGCUGUCAUUGUUACUCUAUUUGAGUCUUCAUCUCCAGCAAAAGAGUCUUUAGGGUCACACACUUAAUGUGAUUAUUCUGAAAUACUAAGUCAAGUGACUUAUCUUGUCAAAACCCCUGCUACCCACAGGUUACUGGAGAAAUGAGGCAGAUCCAUCUCUUGCUCUCCAUGAGACCCGAGAUGCACCCAUGCUGUUUCCACGGUUCAUGGUUCAGGGAGAUUUACAUUCAAGUCCUUUUAGGAAAUGUAAGUGGAAGCCAACCAUCUUGCUAAUAAUUUUGAAACUCAGAACCGCAGUUUAUCAAAGCGCCUGGUCCCUCACCUGGCAGGAGUGGUCUUCCAGGACUGGAGACACCAUCCAGCAUCCUGACAUGGAAGGCGGCUGAUGCUCUUAAACAAAGGACUCUUAAUAAAGAAGAUUUAUCAUUCCGAAGACUUCUGUUCCAACUGUCAGGCCCACCAUAGAAGGGGGGAGAGGUGGCUCUGGGUCUCUAAAGCUCUCGUUUCACAUGAAAUACAAAGAGAUAAUUAGAACUUUGGGUGAGCAGCUAAUAUGAUGACAUGAAGAGGAAGAGAGAGGAUGAACCAGGAGCAGACGGUUGGGGUCGGCCCUCAGUGUCAGGAGGCCGGGAACAGAGGAGGAAAGGGAGGGCCCUCACCUGCCUCCCUGCCACACCUGGAUGCCCUUGCAAGAGAGGAUGGGUAGGGAUUGGCCAGGGCAGGGGGAAGCUGUCCCCCCCAACAGUCAUAGUCCCCUCCCUAGAAACUGGUUCCUUUUGCGUGGAGUAACCUCCUUCCCUCCUUAGGGACCAAGUGCCAUAUGCUCUGCGACAUUCCUCAUUCUUCACAAACCAGACGUGUGUUUGUUGUCUGAUACCAAAUCCGAAUGGAGACUGGGCCAACCUGAAUAGAAGAGAUGGGCAAAGGCUGGCCGGCCUGAUGCUAGCGGGAGCGGGACCUUGUGCUCCUGGAUAAGGACAAGCUGCGGGUCAGGAGAUAGCUGGACACUCAUGCAGACUGAGUGGGGCUUGCAGGGAUGGCUUUGCCUCUGCCCUGCGGCAGCCCUGUCACUUGAACAGGGAUGCCAGCCUUGAGCUGACACAGUGCCGAGCCUCUGCUACAGGGUGAAAACAGUAACAAACUCAGUUCACCCGGAAUGAGGUGGGUCCUGGGAUGUGGGACUUCUGGUUUUAAACUGGGAAAAUCCUGAGUGAAUUGGGACGAGUCGGUCAUCACAGUGGUGGAGUGCAGAGGGCAGGGACCCUGGCAGCGUGUGUUCACAUGAGACCUGCGGCAGGUGCUGGCAUGUCCUAUGUGGA